UACGAAGGGGGCUAGCGUUGCUCGGAAUCACUGGGCGUAAAGGGUGCGUAGGCGGGUCUUUAAGUCAGGGGUGAAAUCCUGGAGCUCAACUCCAGAACUGCCUUUGAUACUGAGGAUCUUGAGUACGGGAGAGGUGAGUGGAACUGCGAGUGUAGAGGUGAAAUUCGUAGAUAUUCGCAAGAACACCAGUGGCGAAGGCGGACUCACUGGCCCGUAACUGACGCUGAGGCACGAAAGCGUGGGAGCAACAGGG
rnacentral:rRNA from 1 species